rnacentral:rRNA from 1 species
AGGGCGCACGGUGGAUGCCUUGACACUAGGAGUCGAUGAAGGACGGGACUAACGCCGAUAUGCUUCGGGGAGCUGUAAGUAAGCUUUGAUCCGAAGAUUUCCGAAUGGGGAAACCCACCAUACGUAAUGGUAUGGUAUCCUUAUCUGAAUACAUAGGGUAAGGAAGACAGACCCAGGGAACUGAAACAUCUAAGUACCUGGAGGAAGAGAAAGCAAAUGCGAUUUCCUGAGUAGCGGCGAGCGAAACGGAACAUAGCCCAAACCAAGAGGCUUGCCUCUUGGGGUUGUAGGACAUUCUAUACGGAGUUACAAAGGAACGAGGUAGACGAAGCGACCUGGAAAGGUCCGUCGUAGAGGGUAACAACCCCGUAGUCGAAACUUCGUUCUCUCUUGAAUGUAUCCUGAGUACGGCGGAACACGUGAAAUUCCGUCGGAAUCUGGGAGGACCAUCUCCCAAGGCUAAAUACUCCCUAGUGAUCGAUAGUGAACCAGUACCGUGAGGGAAAGGUGAAAAGCACCCCGGAAGGGGAGUGAAAGAGAUCCUGAAACCGUGUGCCUACAAAUAGUCAGAGCCCGUUAACGGGUGAUGGCGUGCCUUUUGUAGAAUGAACCGGCGAGUUACGAUCCCGUGCGAGGUUAAGCUGAAGAGGCGGAGCCGCAGCGAAAGCGAGUCUGAAUAGGGCGUUUAGUACGUGGUCGUAGACCCGAAACCAGGUGAUCUACCCAUGUCCAGGGUGAAGUUCAGGUAACACUGAAUGGAGGCCCGAACCCACGCACGUUGAAAAGUGCGGGGAUGAGGUGUGGGUAGCGGAGAAAUUCCAAUCGAACCUGGAGAUAGCUGGUUCUCCCCGAAAUAGCUUUAGGGCUAGCCUUAAGUGUAAGAGUCUUGGAGGUAGAGCACUGAUUGGACUAGGGGUCCUCAUCGGAUUACCGAAUUCAGUCAAACUCCGAAUGCCAAUGACUUAUCCUUAGGAGUCAGAGUGCGAGUGAUAAGAUCCGUAGUCAAAAGGGAAACAGCCCAGACCGCCAGCUAAGGUCCCAAAGUGUGUAUUAAGUGGAAAAGGAUGUGGAGUUGCUUAGACAACUAGGAUGUUGGCUUAGAAGCAGCCACCAUUUAAAGAGUGCGUAAUAGCUCACUAGUCGAGUGACUCUGCGCCGAAAAUGUACCGGGGCUAAAUACACCACCGAAGCUGCGGAUUGAUACCAAUGGUAUCAGUGGUAGGGGAGCGUUCUAAGGACAGUGAAGUCAGACCGGAAGGACUGGUGGAGUGCUUAGAAGUGAGAAUGCCGGUAUGAGUAGCGAAAGACGGGUGAGAAUCCCGUCCACCGAAUGCCUAAGGUUUCCUGAGGAAGGCUCGUCCGCUCAGGGUUAGUCAGGACCUAAGCCGAGGCCGACAGGCGUAGGCGAUGGACAACAGGUUGAUAUUCCUGUACCACCUCUUUAUCAUUUGAGCAAUGGAGGGACGCAGAAGGAUAGAAGAAGCGUGCGAUUGGUUGUGCACGUCCAAGCAGUUAGGCUGAUAAGUAGGCAAAUCCGCUUAUCGUGAAGGCUGAGCUGUGAUGGGGAAGCUCCUUAUGGAGCGAAGUCUUUGAUUCCCCGCUGCCAAGAAAAGCUUCUAGCGAGAUAAAAGGUGCCUGUACCGCAAACCGACACAGGUAGGCGAGGAGAGAAUCCUAAGGUGUGCGAGAGAACUCUGGUUAAGGAACUCGGCAAAAUGACCCCGUAACUUCGGGAGAAGGGGUGCUUUCUUAACGGAAAGCCGCAGUGAAUAGGCCCAAGCGACUGUUUAGCAAAAACACAGCUCUCUGCGAAGCCGUAAGGCGAAGUAUAGGGGGUGACACCUGCCCGGUGCUGGAAGGUUAAGGAGAGGGGUUAGCGUAAGCGAAGCUCUGAACUGAAGCCCCAGUAAACGGCGGCCGUAACUAUAACGGUCCUAAGGUAGCGAAAUUCCUUGUCGGGUAAGUUCCGACCCGCACGAAAGGUGUAACGAUUUGGGCACUGUCUCAACCAGAGACUCGGUGAAAUUAUAGUACCUGUGAAGAUGCAGGUUACCCGCGACAGGACGGAAAGACCCCGUGGAGCUUUACUGUAGCCUGAUAUUGAAUUUUGGUACAGUUUGUACAGGAUAGGCGGGAGCCUUUGAAACCGGAGCGCUAGCUUCGGUGGAGGCGCUGGUGGGAUACCGCCCUGACUGUAUUGAAAUUCUAACCUACGGGUCUUAUCGACCCGGGAGACAGUGUCAGGUGGGCAGUUUGACUGGGGCGGUCGCCUCCUAAAGUGUAACGGAGGCGCCCAAAGGUUCCCUCAGAAUGGUUGGAAAUCAUUCGUAGAGUGCAAAGGCAUAAGGGAGCUUGACUGCGAGACCUACAAGUCGAGCAGGGACGAAAGUCGGGCUUAGUGAUCCGGUGGUUCCGCAUGGAAGGGCCAUCGCUCAACGGAUAAAAGCUACCCCGGGGAUAACAGGCUUAUCUCCCCCAAGAGUCCACAUCGACGGGGAGGUUUGGCACCUCGAUGUCGGCUCAUCGCAUCCUGGGGCUGUAGUCGGUCCCAAGGGUUGGGCUGUUCGCCCAUUAAAGCGGUACGCGAGCUGGGUUCAGAACGUCGUGAGACAGUUCGGUCCCUAUCCGUCGUGGGCGUAGGAAAUUUGAGAGGAGCUGUCCUUAGUACGAGAGGACCGGGAUGGACGCACCGCUGGUGUACCAGUUGUUCUGCCAAGGGCAUAGCUGGGUAGCUAUGUGCGGAAGGGAUAAGUGCUGAAAGCAUCUAAGCAUGAAGCCCCCCUCAAGAUGAGAUUUCCCAUAGCGUAAGCUAGU